rnacentral:rRNA from 1 species
UACAGAGGGUGCAAGCGUUAAUCGGAAUUACUGGGCGUAAAGCGUGCGUAGACGGUUACAUAAGUCGGGUGUGAAAGCCCCGGGCUCAACCUGGGAAUUGCAUUCGAGACUGCGUAGCUAGGGUGCGGAAGAGGGAAGCGGAAUUUCCGGUGUAGCGGUGAAAUGCGUAGAUAUCGGAAGGAACACCAGUGGCGAAAGCGGCUCUCUGGGACGGUACUGACGCUGAGACGCGAAGGCGUGGGGAGCGAACGGG